GGGGAUAAGAAGGAUGGGCGCCAUAUGUUGUCUUGAGGAAGCAUGGCUACCUCUUCACCAAAGUUCAAGUCAAAACGAUGGUCGGAUGGGCCAGACAUUUUCCAAAAUGAUGAAGGAGAAAUGAGAUCCAAUAAAUCUCUAAAGUACAAAAAUAAGGUGAAAAUUCCUACAAGUAAUAACUCCCUGAACGUACUUCUUACACACAAUUGGUGCCCCUAUAAAAGAAAGGGCAGCAAGGCCGUUUGUUCAAAAAUCGAAGAGGCACCACUCUCUGAAUUUCAAGAAGGAUAUUUUCCUAAAUAAAAUAUGUCGACAAUCCCUACACGCAACAUCAGCUCCUCAGGUACCAUAGAUAACUUUGCCAAAGAUCUCUAACAAAGUUUAGACACAUAAAUUUUGAAGGUCCAGCUACCCUACCAUUACCCACAAGGGUAAAGGAACAACACCACUGCUUGAUAACUAGAAAGUCCCUAUGUGUGUCAACCUCCGUGCUCCGUGGCAAAGUAGACUGGCAAAAAUGCCCAACCUUUACUCACAUUAUAGAAAACACUCCCAACAGGAUUGCUUGCUAAAAAAUCGAAGAGGCACCGCUUUCUGAACCUCGAGAGCCAGACUUCCAACAAGAUUACUUGCUCAAAAAUCAAAGAGGCACUGCUUUUCGAAUCUCGAGAGUCAGACUCCCAACAUGAUUGCUUUCUCAAAAAUCGAAGAUGCACCGCUCUUCGAAACUCGAAAGCCAGACUCCCAACAGGAUUGCUUUCUUAAAAAUCGAAGAGGCACCGCUCUCCGAAUCUCGAAAGACAGACUCCUAACAUGAUUGCUUUCUCAAAAAUAAAAAAGGCACCGUUCUCUGAAUUUUGAGAGCCAGAUCAUCCACAGGAUUGCUUGUUCGAAAAUCGAAGAGGCA
rnacentral:lncRNA from 1 species